rnacentral:lncRNA from 1 species
GAAUAAAUACAUGAAGAGAUAUUCAACCUCAGCUUGUUAACAUAGGGAAUUGGAAACAAUUAGACAGUCACUUACAUAUUUGAUAAAAAUGUAUUGAGCCCUACUUUGCACUUGUAAACCAAAAAUAAAAUUCUAAGGCCCCACCCACCCAUCUGAAUGGACUCCUUCUCUUGGCCAAGGACAUUCCAAAGUUAGCCUGAAAAACCAGUUUUAGGCCAUGGUAGGAAGGGGGAGCCAGACAUGCCUCAUUACACUGUCCUCUCUUUUGGAAUUACUGAUAGAACAAACUCUUUAAGUCCGAUACAGUUUAUUCUCUCUGAAGCUUGCUACCUGGAGGCAUCAUCUGCAUGAUAAAACCUUGAUCUCCACAACCCCUUAUUAUAAUCCAGAUGUUCCUUUUCAUUGAUAGUAACUCAACCAAUUGCCAGUCAGAAAAUCUUUGAAUUUGCCUGUUACUUGGAAGCCCCCUACAUCCAGUUGUCCCACCUUUCUAGAACAAACCAAUGUACAUCUUACAUGUAUUGACUGAUGUAUCA